UACGGGGGUGGCGAGCGUUACUCGGAUUUAUUGGGUGUAAAGGGCAGGUAGGCGGCUGUGCAAGUUGGGGGUGAAAUCCUAAGGCUUAACCUUAGAACUGCCUUCAAAACUGCACAGCUUGAGGCCAGAAGAGGAGAGUGGAAUUCCCGGUGUAAGGGUGAAAUCUGUAGAUAUCGGGAGGAACACCAGUGGCGAAAGCGGCUCUCUAGUCUGGCUCUGACGCUAAGCUGCGAAAGCUCGGGGAG
rnacentral:rRNA from 1 species